rnacentral:rRNA from 1 species
UACAGGGGGUGCUAGCGUUGUUCGGAAUUACUGGGCGUAAAGGGCGCGUAGGCGGUUUCGCAAGUCAGAAGUGAAAUCCCGGAGCUUAACUCCGGAACUGCUUCUGAUACUGCGAGGCUUGAGUGUAUUAGAGGAUGGCGGAAUUCCUAGUGUAGUGGUGAAAUACGUAGAUAUUAGGAAGAACACCGGUGGCGAAGGCGGCCAUCUGGGAUACAACUGACGCUGAGGCGCGAAAGCGUGGGGAUCAAACAGG